UCCGGCUUACCACCGGCGGUCCCAUUAGAGUGCCCAACUUAAUGAUGGCAACUAAUGGCGAGGGUUGCGCUCGUUGCGGGACUUAACCCAACAUCUCACGACACGAGCUGACGACAGCCAUGCAGCACCUGUGCACGGACUCCGAAGAGGAGCCUAUUUCUAGGCUUUGCGAUCGAUGUCAAGUCUGGGUAAGGUUCUUCGGUUAGUAUCGAAUUAAUCCACAUGCUCCACCGCUUGUGCGGGUCCCCGUCAAUUCAUUUGAGUUUCAACCUUGCGGCCGUACUCCCCAGGCGGGAUACUUAAUGCGUUAGCUGCGGCACAAGAGGGGUCGAUACCUCUUACGCCUAGUAUCCAUCGUUUAGGGCGUGGACUAC
rnacentral:misc_RNA from 1 species